UUACUUAAGAAUAGGAACCAAACAAAUUAACGGAACGAAAUUAACUGUAACAGCAGUUUGCAAAACACUGUGACACUUCUCAAGUGUUCCUACCUCAAAUACAGCGAGUGUUGCUGUGUUUAUGUUGUUAAAUGGACGAGGAGAGCCCGUGGCUGGUGAGAGGAUGCGGCAUUUCGUCAGUGGAGCAUAGAACGACGUCUGUGAUUGGACAACAAGUGAGUAACGCUGCAUCUGAUUGUUCGAAAGCCUCAACCAAAGAGCUGCUGGUCACGGCAAGAUACAAACUCGCCGGAGCUCUGAGUGAACUGCACAUCCGGGACCUUCAGCACUCAGCAGAGAUUUGUCUUGACGUAUGUAUUUACCUUUGAUAUCCAUGACUCGACGCACAUUUAGCAAGUUAAAGGGACCUGUGGCCUUGCACGUGCUCUGCAUCUUCAACUGCACAGACAAAUCAUUUGUGCCAGCUACUUCCCUGCUCUCCUUCC